UCACAGGCAGCUUUGAGGUCACAUUUAAGGAUGAGCUGAUCUACUCCAAGCUUGAGAAGGGAUCUUUUCCUGAUAACAAUGAGGUGGCGAAGAAAGUGAAUGACAGAAUUGGCAAA